CUGGGUUAAAUCCUACCUUGCCGCCUCAGAGAUGAGGUUUCCCUUCGGGGGAGGUAGGACGGUGCUGCAUGGCUGUCGUCAGCUCGUGCCGUGAGGUGUUGGGUUAAGUCCCGCAACGAGCGCAACCCUUGUCGAUAGUUGCCAGCAUUAAGUUGGGCACUCUAUUGAGACUGCGGUGACAAACCGGAGGAAGGUGGGGAUGACGUCAAGUCAGCAUGGCCUUUAUGCCUGGGGCCACACACGUGCUACAAUGGCAGGCACAAAGCGCUGCGAGCCCGCGAGGGGGAGCCAAUCGCAAAAAGCCUGUCUCAGUUCGGAUUGCAGUCUGCAACUCGACUGCAUGAAGGUGGAAUCGCUAGUAAUCGCGGAUCAGCAUGCCGCGGUGAAUACGUUCCC
rnacentral:rRNA from 1 species